UAAGGGGUCGACGGGACCCCGUCCGGCCGUCCCUAUGCACCUUGAUGGCGCCAACAGUACAACCAAUCUUUCACUCAGCGCUUCGUUUCCCCUUUCCAUGGCUGUCCCCGCCCUCUUCUUCGUCUCUCCCACCGAUCCCUUUUUCUUUCGCAGAAGAAAUCUGUGUUGUAUUUCGUCCUCUUCGCUGCCUUUCGUCUGUGUUGAUCCGGACAUGAUGUUCACAGGUUGGAGCCUGGGUAUCCAUUGAUUAUUGGGGGAAGAGGCUGCUGCGAGGCUCAUUCCGAUGGGCGGUGUUCUUCUUCACUGUGUUGUUGAUUGAUGAAAUUUUGAGUGCUUUGAGGCUUCCUGAUCUUUCCAAAUUCAGAUCCAAAUGGAAGGGUUCUCCAUCAUCUGUUUUUAUUAAAGAAGCUGCCAAAGCUUAGCCCACACAAGGGAAGCUAUCAGAACAAACCUCUCUGAGCUGCUGGGAGCUGACUCGUAAAGCGAAAACAGAAGCAUUGCUGCUCAUACAGAAGCCCAGCCCUGCCCUGCCCUGCCCUGCUAUUCCUCCCAUUACUGCUGCUGUGUAAGAGUAAUAUAACAACAGUGUGCUCCAUCUUAAGUGGAAUGCGCGUUCUUGUAAAUACUUUGAAUUUUCCAUAGUUUGCCUGCAAACGAUUGUAAGUUGAUUGUUGAAUUAAACGUUUUAAUCAUUCAACAAUAUGGGAAUGAAAAUGAAAAUGGUAUGGUGGGAGAAAAAUAGAAAUUGCCUACAAUCAUUCCCUUGUUAUUA